ACGGGGGGAGCAAGCGUUGUCCGGAAUUACUAGGCGUAAAGGGCAAGUAGGCGGAACAAUUAGUCAGGUGUUAAAGGCGUCGGCUCAACCGGCGUACGGCAUUUGAUACUGUUGUUCUAGAGUAAGGUGGGGGAAGACGGAAUUCCUGGUGUAGCGGUGGAAUGCGGAGAUAUCAGGAAGAACACCGGUGGCGAAGGCGGUCUUCUAUACCAUUACUGACGCUCAAUUGCGAAGGUGUGGGUAUCGAACAGG
rnacentral:rRNA from 1 species